GCGCGGCCACCUGACCCUGGGCGCCGUUGUUAUUAGGCGCGGCGAGGCGGGCGGCGCGCGGCAGCAGGGUUGGGCUCUGGCCGGGAGUCGACUGAGGGAGCGAGGGCGGGGAGCGCGCGCGCGCGCUGCGCGCCCUCGUCCGGACCGUCUGCCGCGGCCGCUCGCGCUCUCGCCUCCCGCCUCACACCACGAUUCCGUUCAGCCCCCUCGGCCCUUCCCUCGCGCCUCCCUCGCCGGCCCUCAGAAUGAAGGUUGGUCUCUGGACUCUCCUUGCUCCUCAGCCGAGAAGAUGAGCUGGGAACCCUUGAUCUAAACAUCAGAACUACUAGAGAUCUGUUGCCUGGAGAUGCUUGAACUGUAUAAUUGCUGUGGAUCUGGCAUCUAGAGCAGCCUUUUCCAAGUAAUGGAACUGUCAACCGAGACUCUCAUGUGUGCCUCCCUCACCCCUACCUCUCUGCUUGCCAGAAGUCAACCUGGAGACAAGAAUUCAAGUGCAGGUGGUUUAUUUUGGAUAUGAUUCCAGAAACACUGGUAGGAGAAAGCAGAAGUGAGACAAGGAAAGGAAGAGCAUAUUGAUAUUAAGAAAAUAUUUUACAACUAAGACAUCAAAAGAAGUGGAGAUGCUGAGGAAUUCUUUGGCUUUAAAGGAUGAAUUCAAGUACAUAAUGAGGACCUGUGUGACAACCAGAUUCCAUAUAACAAUUAGAAUGUUCCAGCACAGAUAUACAUACUUUAGACCUCGUCUGGGGAAAAUGCUUAAAGAACAGGAUGACUGAGCGAGCAGCCGGAGGGAGCCUGAGGAUCCAGCGGCCCCUCCUCCAGGAUGGAGGCAGCCAAAUAUCAGGCCAGGGGAGGCUUGCCUGGCACAGGUGCCGCCUGCUGUGCAGCCCGAGGACUCAGACCGGCCACACUGGAGUCACCUGGUGUGCUUGAAGAAACCCACGCCUGAGCCUUGGUCCAGAGAUUCCUGGCAGAAGUGGGGAAAGGCGAGGACCCGGCACCUGUGUAGUUUUGGAAGAGUUCCCAGGGGCCUGAUCUGGCCGACGCACCCCUCAAACUCAGCUGGAGGACCAGGCUGAAUGGAUCCCCAGGAAUGCUUUCAUAACACCCCGUACUUCUACAGGCAUCCCCAGCCUCUGCACAGAGUAAGUGCUCAGCAAAUCAUUCAGUGACUGGAUCCUCAGUCUCUCUCAAGAAAACAGCAAGACUCUGAGCGGAGGACUACCUCUGAAGUCACGUGGCGGCAGGGUCCAGGUGGAGCCUAGCCUGGGUCUUCCUGACCUGAGCUGCUGCUCUUACUGCUCUGGGCUCCUUGGGCAUGGAGGGGCCCUCGCCCCUGCCAUCCUCACAGACUCUGCCCACAGAGGUGAUGGCAAGCACCACCCUACCCCCUUCACGUCUGCUCUGCCGACUGCACAAGGUCACACAUCCACGUGUUCACUGCCGUCAUCUGUACCAUGCAUUCACGUAUCAGAUGUUUAUGGAGCCUAAUCAUCCACAGGUCACUGCAUAAUCACAAAGGUACAGCAGCUUACAAAACAUACAGGCCGCCAUCAGGGAGCAACCACGUAAGGAAGCUAGACCGAGUCCAAUCACACAGAUGAACUGUUGUGUGACUGUCCGGAAGAGAGCACCACGGAGGCAGUCAAGAAGGCAGAGUGAUGGGAAGCAAGGAGCAGAGCCCCCACCCAGCAGCAGCCUCCCCCUUCCUUCCUAGCAGAGUCCAGUGCAUUCGUGUGUCACCCCCUCGGGCUCUCCCAGAGCCUCAGGAGAAACCACCCGAAUGCUUAGAUUCAGGAGUUGGUUCACGGGUAAAUCUGUCCCUCACCAGGAUGACUUAGGAGGGAGCACAGGGCCCAUUUCAGACCCAUCAGGCAAAGGUAAUGCCACUAGGGAGGCAGUGACUUCUAGGGAAGGUGACCUUGCUUUAAAGAGAAAGCCACAGAAGCAAUGGUCUCUCUCCUCCCUCUGGACACCCUCCUGUCUGGGUGUGAUGGAGUUGCUGUGGCAGUCACUCCCAGCCUGAGGAUGAAGCCAACACCUGAUUUGGCUAAGCAGAGACAGGGACAGAACUGGGACCUAGUGAUGCCCCUGGGCAGCUGGAAAGACCAGACCUGGAGCUCUCUGACUUGUGUCAACGUGACUUCAGUGAUUAUUUAAUUUGUCUGCUUUUAUAACCAAAAGCACAAAAUUGACACAGGGACGUGAGCCUUUCCUACUUCUCUCACUGCCCCAUCCCUAGCUCCUACCACAGUGCCUGGCACUUAACAGAUCAUCAGAGUGAUCCAUUGUGGACCUGUGAUUGUAUCCAGAGCUGAGCAGCACGGAGAGGUCAAGAGGCAGAGUGACAGGAAAGGAGCAGAGCCCCCACCCAGCAGCAGCCUCCCCUCUUCCUCCUACAGAGUCCCUGUUGCCCUGGAGUGAGUGGUGUCAGUCAGACCUCCUGUGAUCGGGCUGGAGACAUGGCUGUGAGUUCAGUGAAGGGAAGGAUCCCCGGGGGUGGGGGACAACCCGAGGGGAGCAAAGUGGUAGGGGAGAGCGGGACAUCCUGACCCAGCUGACACAGGCACCCAGGCCCUUGCCCAAGAGUCGCACCUGCUGGUCCAGUGGAGCUGGCAGAAGCAGGCACAGAAGUGAUGAAUCAAAGGCCCUGGGUGGGGCACCAGUGACAGGGACACAAGUGAUAGUCAAGCAAAGCCUAGGCAGCGCUCCACCAUACCCCUCUGCAGCCAGAGGGGUGGUCUCCUGUAGCAGAAUGACCAAGGGCAGGCUCCCCGUCUUACUGAAAUGAAAAAAAAAAAAAAAAAACACUUUGCAACAUCAAAAUUAUUGUUGUACUUCAUUACU